rnacentral:pre_miRNA from 14 species
ACAUAUAUACAUGUAUAUGUGUGUGUGUAUAUAUAUAUAUACACACACACAUAUAUAUGUAUAUGUGUG